GACGUAGGGCGCGAGCGUUGUCCGGAUUUAUUGGGCGUAAAGAGCUCGUAGGCGGCUUGUCGCGUCGAAUGUGAAAACUCGGGGCUCAACUCCGAGCUUGCAUUCGAUACGGGCAGGCUAGAGUUCGGUAGGGGAGACUGGAAUUCCUGGUGUAGCGGUGAAAUGCGCAGAUAUCAGGAGGAACACCGAUGGCGAAGGCAGGUCUCUGGGCCGAUACUGACGCUGAGGAGCGAAAAGCGUGGGGGAGCGAACAGG
rnacentral:rRNA from 1 species